rnacentral:tRNA from 1 species
GGCAGUUUAGCUUAAUGGUAAAGCGCUUGACGCGUAAUCACAGAGAUGUCAGUUCGAACCUGACGCCU